GACGAACGCUGGCGGCGUGCUUAACACAUGCAAGUCGAACGGAAAGGCCCUGCUUGCAGGGUGCUCGAGUGGCGAACGGGUGAGUAACACGUGGGUGAUCUGCCCCUUACUUUGGGAUAAGCCUGGGAAACUGGGUCUAAUACUGGAUAGGACCAUGCUGUAGGUGGUGUGGUGGAAAGAUUAGUUUCGGUAAGGGAUGAGCUCGCGGCCUAUCAGCUUGUUGGUGGGGUAAUGGCCUACCAAGGCGUCGACGGGUAGCCGGCCUGAGAGGGUGGACGGCCACAUUGGGACUGAGAUACGGCCCAGACUCCUACGGGAGGCAGCAGUGGGGAAUAUUGCACAAUGGGCGCAAGCCUGAUGCAGCGACGCCGCGUGGGGGAUGACGGCCGUCGGGUUGUAAACUCCUUUCAGCCAUGACGAAGCCCUUGUGGUGACGGUAGUGGUAGAAGAAGCACCGGCUAACUACGUG
rnacentral:rRNA from 1 species